GCGUCGGUGGUGCAACAGUUCAGGACACGCUCUUGGAAAGAACGAGGUCUGAGUUCGAAUCCUGGCUGAUGCA